rnacentral:tRNA from 1 species
CCCCGAAUGGUGAAAUUGGUAUACGUACUAGCUUCAGGUGCUAGUAUUUUUAUGACCAUGAAAGUUCAAAUCUUUUUUUGGACA